rnacentral:rRNA from 1 species
GAUGAACGCUGGCGGCGUGCCUAAUACAUGCAAGUCGAGCGAACGGACGAGAAGCUUGCUUCUCUGAUGUUAGCGGCGGACGGGUGAGUAACACGUGGAUAACCUACCUAUAAGACUGGGAUAACUUCGGGAAACCGUAGCUAAUACCGGAUAAUAUUUUGAACCGCAUGGUUCAAAAGUGAAAGACGGUCUUGCUGUCACUUAUAGAUGGAUCCGCGCUGCAUUAGCUAGUUGGUAAGGUAACGGCUUACCAAGGCAACGAUGCAUAGCCGACCUGAGAGGGUGAUCGGCCACACUGGAACUGAGACACGGUCAAGACUCCUACGGGAGGCAGCAGUAGGGAAUCUUCCGCAAUGGGCGAAAGCCGGACGGAGCAACGCCGCGUGAGUGAUGAAGGUCUUCGGAUCGUAAAACUCUGUUAUUAGGGAAGAACAUAUGUGUAAGUAACUGUGCACAUCUUGACGGUACCUAAUCAGAAAGCCACGGCUAACUACGUG